GCAGACAAAGAAGCUGCAUGGAGCCUCUUUCUGCAAUUCAGCUAAUGAAGGGCAAAGCAUUCAGUCCCAGUUCCCUGAUCCUGACUUAAAAUGUCUCUCCUAAACAUGAACUGACUUCCCCCUUGCUCUAGAGUAAGGACUAAAGCUGCCAAACUGCACCAAAGGAAGACAGAUGCUGCAAAACAGAGACAGAGAAACCUCCAGGCUGAUUCACCUGUUUCAAUGCCACACACGUGUCCGAGAGUGAGGAGUUACAGCGUUAAAACAGCAGUUGAAACAGCAGCUCUUUUUUUUUCCUGCUUUGCAGCUUGUGUGACAGGCAGUUGGGGUUUGGGUUUUGUUUUGUUUGGUUUUUCCCUUUGAUCGAGACACCUAAGUCAACACCGGCUCUCGAGAGCGGCUUUCAUGCCUCGCUGAAUGUCGGUUGCAUCUUUCUCAGGAUGCUGCUGCCAACUGAACCUUCCAGCAAAGUACCACCCGUUGAUGCUCAAAGCGGCAUGUGCUUCAGUCAGAGGAGAACAACUAACCCCAUCCUGACACCCAGGACAAGGCUUCAUGCAAAUAAAGGAAUAUUAAGAAGAUAGUCAGAGCUGGAAAGCAGCGCCACUCCCACCCCAUCCUGAGCCCCAGGCUGGAAAUGGGGAAUUAUCAUCACUAGACAGCAAGAUUUAUAGCAAGGACAGUUUGCUUUUUGGUUGCUUUUCCCCUGCAAGCUGUACUAUUAAAAAGCAUAAGUGGGUGUCAAAAAUACAGUGCAACCUCAGCAACUGUUUGCACCCCCUUCGCUGUCGGUUCAGAGCAAGUCCACAUUCAAUGCAAAUUAAAUCUGCCUGAUGCAGAUUUUGUGGGUGACAACGGUUAAGCAACAGAGAGACGCAGGUUUUAGGCUGCGAAAGGGACCUGGGAGACAAGCUCUGCUAGAAAAGGGCAGAUGAGCAGCUUCUGUACAUAAAAUUAUUGCGCUUUGGGAAAAAAAAUGAAAAUUAAAAGGCAAGCAAAGGCAAGAUGACAGCAGAAAGGGAGCUCUGAUGUGUUUUGUCCAGGCUAAUUUUAACAGAACUUCCACCACUUCCCAGAGGAAACUACUUCACAGCCCAAAACAUCUCUCACUGUCAGCAAGUUUCCCUGAUGUCUGAGCGAUAUUUUUCUUCUCUUUAGCUUCCUCUAAUAAGAGCCUAACGAGCUCCUCUCCUCCCCUCGGACGCCGGUAGACAGCUUUAAUGACCGCUCAGGAGCUAAAUUCAAUGAUCGCACUCUGCGUGGCAGUGGGUGUCAGAUCUGAAGGAGAUCUGAUGGUACCUCAAGAGGCAUCCCAUUUGGCUGGACAGACUCGAGCUGGGAUGGAUGACAGUGUCACCAGUGGUCACCAGAUAGCGCUGGGACACUUCAGGUGCCUGCUCUGCUCACACCAUUAACAAUGCAGGGGAAGGAUGUGUGGCAGCUCCUGUAAUAAAAAGGGUCUCUUCACAGUCUCUUCCUGCUGCAGAUGCUCCUUAGGAGACCCAGCACGAAGUCCUGGUAUCUCCACCCUUCAUAAGCUGCAAACACAUGGGUUUCCAGCACAAACUCCAGAAGAAACUGCAUCCCAAAGGUAUCUCUGAGCCUCUUGCUUCUGCUCCCAUCACUGGGUACCCAAAUGCGUGAGAUGCCAUCCUUGCCCAGCCUUUCCCAGGCCCGCAAAUAGCAGAUGGCUUUUUAAUUUUGAUUUCCCACCCACAAUAUAAUCUCAUGGUGCAAAGAUGAGGUUUUCUGCUGUUGCUUGUGGUGGAGGGAGGAACACACACGGCCGGUGAUGUUAACCCUCGUCCUUCUCCGGAAGAUCUCGCUCAGCUGGUACCAAGUCCUCUGGUUUUUGAAGUCAGCAGGAGUCCGGCCUGGGGAAGGUUUACGGGAUGAGUUUUGGCUGUUCUGAUUGAAGCUGUUUCCAAAAACCCGCGAAUGCCAUUUUCAGCGCAUCGCAAGGAGCUGAGGCUCACAGCAUCGGAUCAUUCAGUGCCUCUAAAUCUCCCUCUGAGACUUUAUAAAUCUCAGCCAGGAGUUUCAUUUUACUUUGGCCACCCUGGGCACAAGCCGUGAGCAUGGACACAGCCCUACUUCUUCUAACGCAAAUAGGAUGAGAAAUCAUUAUUUUUUCAAUUCCUCCCUGAGCAUCUGUGGGCUGAAGGGGACCUUGCUGAAACACAGAGCAAGCUGAAUUUACCUCCUCCCUGAAUGAGCUUCAUUAGCUUGUGCAGUCAGCUCCAGAUUUUAAUGCAUGCAGCAAAUGGGAGAAAUUAAAUAAAUACUACAAUCAAAAUGCUUAAA